rnacentral:rRNA from 1 species
AUUGAACGCUGGCGGCAUGCCUUACACAUGCAAGUCGAACGGUAACAGGUCUUUGGAUGCUGACGAGUGGCGAACGGGUGAGUAAUACAUCGGAACGUGCCUAGUAGUGGGGGAUAACUACUCGAAAGAGUGGCUAAUACCGCAUGAGAUCUACGGAUGAAAGCAGGGGAUCGCAAGACCUUGUGCUACUAGAGCGGCCGAUGGCAGAUUAGGUAGUUGGUGGGAUAAAAGCUUACCAAGCCGACGAUCUGUAGCUGGUCUGAGAGGACGAUCAGCCACACUGCGACGGAGAGACGGCCAAGACUCCUACGGGAGGCAGCAGUGGGGAAUUUUGGACAAUAGGUGCAAGCCUGAUGCAGCAAUGCGGCGUGCAGGAUGUAGGCCUUCGGGUUGUAGACUGCUUUUGUACGGAACGAAAAGCCCUGGGUUAAUACCCUGGGGUCAUGACGGUACCGUAAGAAUAAGCACCGGCUAACUACGUGCCAGCCGCCGCAGUAACAC